UACGUAGGGUGCAAGCGUUGUCCGGAAUUAUUGGGCGUAAAGAGCUCGUAGGCGGUCUGUCGCGUCGGCUGUGAAAACCCGAGGCUCAACCUCGGGCCUGCAGUCGAUACGGGCAAACUAGAGUACUGCAGGGGAGACUGGAAUUCCUGGUGUAGCGGUGAAAUGCGCAGAUAUCAGGAGGAACACCGGUGGCGAAGGCGGGUCUCUGGGCAGUAACUGACGCUGAGGAGCGAAAGCGUGGGUAGCGAACAGG
rnacentral:rRNA from 1 species